rnacentral:rRNA from 1 species
ACAUGCCUACAACAUAGUGUUAAUGCAUUGGAUCCCAUUAGAACUCUGCAGUUAAGAGCACUUGGGCUAGAGUAGUAUUGGGAUGGGUGACCUCCUAGAAAUUUUUAGUUUUUUACAUGUC